UUUAUACUUCCUUCGUCCCAAAAUUCUUGUCAUAGAUUUGUCCAAAUACGGAUGUAUCUACUUAGAUACAUCCGUAUCUAGACAAAUCUAAGACAAGAAUUUUGAGACGGAGGGAGUAUUAU
rfam:Triticum aestivum genome assembly, contig: Triticum_aestivum_CS42_TGACv1_scaffold_214955_3AS